rnacentral:tRNA from 1 species
UAAUGAAUGUAAAUUAAAUUACUUAACUAAAUUCUAAACUUAAUACAUAAAUCUGCCAACUCAUU